GACGAACGCUGGCGGCGUGCUUAACACAUGCAAGUCGAACGGAAAGGCCCUGCUUUUGUGGGGUGCUCGAGUGGCGAACGGGUGAGUAACACGUGAGUAACCUGCCCUUGACUUUCGGAUAACUUCACGAAACUGGGGCUAAUACCGGAUAGGAGCUCCUGCUGCAUGGUGGGGGUAGGAAAGUUUCGGCUGUUGGGGAUGGACUCGCGGCUUAUCAGCUUGUUUGUGGGGUAGUGGUUUACCAAGGCUUUGACGGGUAGCCGGCCUGGGAGGGUGACCGGCCACAAUGGGACUGCGAUACGGCCCAGACUCCUACGGGAGGCAGCAGUGGGGAAUAUUGCACAAUGGGCGGAAGUCUGAGGCAGAAACGCCGCGUGCGGGAUAACGGCCUUUUGGUUGUAAACCGCUUUCGCCUGUGACGAAGCGUGAGUGACGGUAAUGGGUAAAGAAGCACCGGCUAACUACGUG
rnacentral:rRNA from 1 species